GAAAAUUCUGUUGACUGGUGCAAUCCGGGGGUGAGCUGAUAUUAAACCCUCGCUUAGGAAACAGUUGUUCUUUAGGUGGAUGACUGAGCUGAAAGCGUGAGAACAACC
rnacentral:snoRNA from 1 species